rnacentral:rRNA from 1 species
GCAUACAAAAGGGGGGGAGAGAAAAUUU